GGUAGCAUGGCCGAGUGGUCUAAGGCAUUGGAUUAAGGCGCCAGGCUCUGCGGAGGCGUGGGUUCAAAUCCCACUGCUGCCA